rnacentral:tRNA from 2 species
GCUCGACUAGCUCAGUUGGUUAGAGCAUGCGGCUGUUAACCGCAAGGUCGUAGGUUCGAUCCCUACGUCGAGCG